rnacentral:rRNA from 1 species
UCAGGUAGGAAUACCCGCUGAACUUAAGCAUAUCAAUAGGCCGGAGGAA